GGACUACUCGGGUUUCUAAUCCUGUUUGCUCCCCUAGCUUUCGUGCCUCAGUGUCAGAAGUUGUCCAGGGACUCGCCUUCGCCACUGGUGUUCCUCUCGAUAUCUACGCAUUUCACUGCUACACCGAGAAUUCCAGUCCCCCCUCCAACUCUCAAGCCAAGCAGUUUCCAAUGCAGUUUCCGAGUUAAGCUCGGAGAUUUCACAUCAGACUUGCCCGACCACCUACGCACCCUUUACGCCCAGUAAAUCCGAACAACGCUUGGGACCUCUGUAUUACCGCGGCUGCUGGCAC
rnacentral:rRNA from 2 species